UAGCUCAGUUGGUAGAGCAUAGUGUUUGCAACGCCAGGGUUGUGGGUUCGAUUCCCAU
rfam:Salmo salar isolate Sally breed double haploid chromosome ssa12, whole genome shotgun sequence.